GCAAACUUGGUCAUUUAGAGGAAGUAAAAGUCGUAACAAGGUUUCCGUAGGUGAACCUGCGGAAGGAUCAUUAUUGAAUCUCCAAUGUAAAGGGCUGUUGCUGGCAUAACUUGCAUGUGCACGCUCAAUACAACCACACCUGUGCACCUAUUGACUGAAGCCUUCUGUCUGGAGGGUGGAUGUCCUUAAUACACACACUUUUUUAUAAAACUUGUUUGACAUAUAAAUGUAUUAAAUGACAACUUUCAACAACGGAUCUCUUGGCUCUCGCAUCGAUGAAGAACGCAGC
rnacentral:misc_RNA from 1 species